CUAACCGGCGGCGCAUCUGCGCUGAGGGCAACGUGUUCGAUGAAAUGCCACCGGCUGGGCUUUUGGCUCGGCGCGUCGUGCGUGGGGGAGCUGAACCGCUGGUGAGGUCUGUGCGUCCUCUCAGAGCGUGGACGCGAUGGCUGCACGGGGGCAGGGAGCCACAGGAAGAAGAGAUCCCGUACGCCGACGUGCCCCGGCCCGGGAGGAAGUGGGAGAGGAAGCCGUACGUGACGCCGAUGAAGGUCCUCAUCCGGAGGGCCAAGGAGGAGAGACAGGCCCGGCAGGAGGCCCCGUGCCGCGUGCUGGAGCACCCACCCGCCAACGGCCUUCUCGUGCCGCACCUCGUCGAGGUUGCGCAUCGGGUGCACAGAGCAAGGGAGAGGCUCCUCAGCGGCCUCGCCAGCCUUGUCAAAGGCGAUGCUGCCAUCCCGGUGAAGCGAUGCAGGUUCUGCUCGGAGGUGCACAUCGGUGACGUCGGGCAUGAGAUCAGGACGUGUGAGGGCCCCAACAGCGCGUCGAGGAACUCCUUGCACGUGUGGCGGCCAGGGACGGUACGGGACGUCCUCGGCUUCCCAUACUGCUACCACCUGUUUGAUCGCGUUGGGAAGCCCAGGGUGGUGCACAAGGAGAAGUACGUCGUCCCGAGGCUCCCGGCCAUCCUGGAGCUAUGCAUCCAGGCCGGUGUCGACGUCGAGCGUUACCCAACCAAGAGGAGGACGAGGCCAGUUUACUCAAUCGACGGCAGGAUUGCAGACUUUGAGCUGGACGAUGAAGACGGCUCCUCAGAAGCAGAAACAUCACCUGAAGCUUGGUCUUAUCCAUCCCCGCCGCCUCAAACGAGUUCUGCUUGUACAGCCUAUGUCGGUAACCGGACAGAAGAAGAGAUCGCUGUGAGAGAGAUGAGCUCCAGGACGCUGCAGUCCUGGCUGGAUAUGCGGUCAGGCGCAGCGAGGCUGAUGAGGAAGUACGGUGUGGUCACCUGCGGGUACUGCCCAGAUGUGCAGGUCGGGCCCAAGGGCCACAAGGUGAGGAUGUGCAAGGCUAGCAAGCACCAGCAGCGGGAUGGCCAGCACGCGUGGCAGGAAGCCACAGUAGACGACAUCGUCCCCCUGAACCAUGUCUGGCACGUCCGCGACCCAGCUGGCGACAGUGUGCCUCUCGCGAACGAGCUCAAGAGGUACUAUGGCAAGGCCCCGGCCGUGGUAGAGCUCUGCGUGCGUGCGGGCGCGCCAGUACCGGUGCAGUACAGGAGCAUGAUGCGGCUGGACGUUGUGCCGCCCGCACGCGACGAGUACGACCUCGUUGCCUGAUACUCAGAUUGGCAUUGCGGUGCCUGGUGCUCGUGCAUGUUUUUGAGUUCGCCUGCAUGUCGGAGCUGCACAAGGUUGAAAUGGUGACGGGGAUAUUGCAAGAAGAUUUUCCUUGUAACUGCACAGGCCGCCGCUUCAUCACUUAAUUUUACUCGUGUGUCAAAUAAAUAAAUAAAGUUGUUGUGGUAAGGUGAUUUUGUUUGUAAAUUGGUAUCUAUGUUGAAAUACCGUGUCGAAAAAGGACCGCAUGUACUGAAAAUACAGUUAGUCCACCGUGCUGGUGCUGCCUGUUCAAGAAACAUAAAUUGGCAUGAGAAAAACAGCAGACCCCUUUUGGGGGAAAAGCAU